CAACUUGGAGAGGCUGGACCCUGGGGCAUGUCUACGAAGGAGAAACCAUGCAGCGUCCUUCUACCCUGUCAGGCCUGGAACUGUGAAUGGACCGAAGACCAGUGGGGCCUUCAGCUACUGGCCUGGACCCUUGGAAGCAAACUUGUUUUUCUGUGAUUCACCAGAAACUCUCAGGAUGAGAGUAUCUCAGUCUUCCAAGGUUUGGCUUCAUUGACCCACUAAGAAGCACGAUCCCAUGCCCAAGGGAAGCUCAUUAAAACAGGAAGUAAGCAAUUCAAAACAGUUUCAGGAAGUUCCUGAAACUGACCAGAUUCACUAAGAUCCUCCCUCUCCAAGAGUACAUAAAUAGUAAAGACUAUGGAAACUCACUGUUAAACAAGCUAAGUAUCAGCUCUAAGAGGUUUCUGGUGAUGUCUACAGCCUCCUACACAUAUGCUCAUAUCAUCUGCAAAUAUUGCUGACUGGCUGUGUCUAAAGGGAUGGAGGAGCUUCAGUGUCAGAGUCUGCCAUCUUGGCAUGAAAAUUUGUGCACCACUGAGUUCCAAUUCUACCCAGCUCCCAUGAGGUGCCAUGUGACUUUCCAGGUCUUUUAUUCUCAGAGAGUGGAUGGAGAACUUUGGAGUUUGAAUACAUGCUUGUAGGGUUUUGUGUUCCUUCUGCAGAGCAGCUUGAUUUCUCACAUGUCUGAGGACAAUAGAUGGCAAAGCAGGUGGCUGGCACUGGAAUUCCUCCGCAUCUACUUCAGGAACCUCAAUGCUCUGUCACGCCAAAGUUGGUUUUGUGUGAUUCCUUGUCUUUGGGACACAGAACAAAGUAGAUGGGUUCACCCAUUUCCCUCACACACUAUUCAAUGCUGUAGGCCAGGGUCUUUUCUCUUAUUGACCUAAUGGUUUAUGAUUCUGUAUUUUAUCUGUGGCAGUUUGAAUAAGAACAGCCCCCAUAGGCUCAUAGAUUCAAAUGCUUAGUCUUCAGGGAAUGGCACUACUUGAUAAGGAUGAAGAUGUAUGGCCUUGUUGGGGUGGGUGUGGCCUUGUUGGAAGAAGUGUGCCACGGAGGGGUAGGCUUUGGGGUUUCAAAUGUUCAAGCUAUGCUCGGUGUCACUAAUUCUCCAUGCUGUCUGCUGAUCCAGAUGUAGAACUCUGGGCUCUUUCUCCAACACCAUGUCAGCAUGCAUGCCACCAUGCUUCCUGUCAUGACAAAAUUGGGCUAAACCUCUGAACCUGUAAGUAGACCUCAGUGAAAUGCUUCCCUUUAUAAGAGUUGCCAUGGACACAGUGUCUUCAUUCACAGCAAUAGAACCCUAACUAGCACAUUAUAUCACCCCUCCCCCCUUGCUUUUCCACUGUUCUUCUCCUUUGAAGUCACAGAUAAAACAUCUUCCCUCAACUUUGUGGGGACACAACAGAGUGACCCUAACUUAUUUCUACUCUGCCACCUUCCUCUCUGCUAUAGUAAUUUUGACUAAAUUCACUUUUGUAAAUAUACUUCUGGUUUUGUUCAGUCCAGAACCUGGGGUCAUUUGCGUUCUUAAUCUCUUCUCAGGACUGCAGUAAAAAUUCAUUCAUGUUGUAUCAAAAUUGAAAUAGUAACCACAACACCACUUUCAAGGAGGUAAAUACAGUAUCAUAUGCUUCCAAGUGGGAUUUCCAUACCCACUUGAAAUGAAAGCAUAUGCAUUAGUUUUCAUCCAUUGUUACAUUGUAACUGCUGGUGUAUUUUAUUCUUGAAUGCCACUGUUGUAAUCUUUACGAACUAUCUGAUGGAAAAAUAUGCCAUUAUUUAAUCAGGGUUUCUAAUAAAAAUGUCUAUGCUUCUUAAAAUUAUA
ensembl:processed_transcript AY512915 cDNA sequence AY512915